AAGCUCGUAGUUGAAUUUCGGGGUUCUACCGUUGGUCGGGCUUUGUCUGUACUGGCGUGUAGAAUUUCUACCUUCUGGGGAACCAUUAUGUUAUUAAUUUAGCGUGGUGGGAAACCAGGACCUUUACCUUGAAAAAAUUAGAGUGUUCAAAGCAGGCUUAUGUCUGAAUACAUUAGCAUGGAAUAAUAGAAUAGGACGGUGGUCCUGUUUUGUUGGUUUCUGAAUCACCGCAAUGAUUAAUAGGGAUAGUUGGG
rnacentral:rRNA from 1 species